rnacentral:rRNA from 1 species
UACAGAGGUGGCAAGCGUUUGUUCGGAAUUACUGGGCGUAAAGCGCACGUAGGCGGCUUUCUAAGUCAGGGGUGAAAUCCUGGAGCUCAACUCCAGAACUGCCUUUGAUACUGGAGCUUGAGUCCGGGAGAGGUGAGUGGAACUCCGAGUGUAGAGGUGAAAUUCGUAGAUAUUCGGAAGAACACCAGUGGCGAAGGCGGCUCACUGGCCCGGUACUGACGCUGAGGUGCGAAAGCGUGGGGAGCAAACAGG